rnacentral:rRNA from 1 species
UACGGGGGGAGCAAGCGUUGUUCGGAUUUACUGGGCGUAAAGGGCGUGUAGGCGGCCAGGUAGGUCUGCUGUGAAAACUCGAGGCUUAACCUCGAGAUGUCGGCGGAAACCAUCUGGCUAGAGUCCGGAAGAGGAGAAUGGAAUUCCCGGUGUAGCGGUGAAAUGCGCAGAUAUCGGGAAGAACACCCGUGGCGAAGGCGGUUCUCUGGGACGGUACUGACGCUGAGACGCGAAAGCGUGGGGAGCGAACAGG